rnacentral:rRNA from 1 species
CCUACGGGAUGCAGCAGUGAGGAAUAUUGGUCAAUGGACGAAAGUCUGAACCAGCCAAGUAGCGUGAAGGAUGACUGCCCUAUGGGUUGUAAACUUCUUUUAUACGGGAAUAAAACGCGGCACGUGUGCAUUUUUGCAUGUACUUUAUGAAUAAGGACUGGCUAACUCCGUGCCAGCAGCCGCGGUAAUACGGAGGAUCCGGGCGUUAUCCGGAUUUAUUGGGUUUAAAGGGAGCGUAGACGGGAUGUUAAGUCAGGUGUGAAAUGCUGCGGCUCAACCAUAGAACUGCAGUUGAUACUGGCAGGCUUGAGUGCAGGUGAGGUAGGCGGAAUUCGUGGGGUAGCGGUGAAAUGCUUAGAUAUCACGAAGAACCCCGAUUGCGAAGGCAGCUUACUAAACUGUGACUGACAUUGAAGCUCGAAAGUGUGGGUAUCAAACAGGAUUAGAUACCCUUGUAGUC